rnacentral:lncRNA from 1 species
GGGGAGUCUUGUUUUACAGUUAUGUUUUCGAUUUAAGCAUGGAACUGGGCAUUCCAAUUACCGGCCCCUUUCUCGUGAAUGACAGUGAAUAAACACAUGUCGAGGAUAACACUCCUAGCAUGGAAGAUACCAAUAGCCCCUGUCACCACAUGAGCGGUUCGGGCAUGCAAAACAGAUUAUUUCUUGAAGGUUUAGAGAGUGGCACAUGCAAAUUUACUUGGAACGGCAGGUAGAUACCGCAAAUAGGUAGGUAUGGUGGACUCUCAUGGAAAAACUUUUGGGUUUAUGGAAGUGGAUGCACAAGCAGUAUUCCGCUUAGUACAAGUGAAGGCUAGCAAAAGACUGGGAAGCGACCAACUAGAGAGC